rnacentral:tRNA from 2 species
GGCAACGUGGCCGAGUGGUCUAAGGCGCUGUGUUCAGGUCGCAGUGGGAAACCGCAAGGGUUCGAAUCCCUUCGUUGUCA